rnacentral:pre_miRNA from 1 species
CUACUACUCCCUCCGUCCCAAAAUUCUUGUCUUAGAUUUGUCUAGAUAUAAAUGUAUCUAGUCACAUUUUAGUAUUUAGAUACAUCUAUUUUUAGACAAAUCUAAGACAAGAAUUUUGGGACGGAGGGAGUACUAC